UUUGAAUGCGCUGCUAUACAUGCAGUCGAGCGGACGGAUGGGAGCUUGCUCCCUGAAGUCAGCGGCGGACGGGUGAGUAACACGUGGGCAACCUGCCUGUAAGACUGGGAUAACUUCGGGAAACCGGAGCUAAUACCGGAUAACACCUAGGACCUCAUGGUCCUUGGUUGAAAGAUGGCUUCUGCUAUCACUUACAGAUGGGCCCGCGGCGCACUAUCUAGUUGGUGAGGUAACGGCUCACCACGGCGACUAUGCGUAGCCCACCUGAGAGGGUGAUCGGCCACACUGGGACUGAGACACGGCCCACACUCCUACGGGAGGCAGCAGUAGGGAAUCUUCCGCAAUGGACGAAAGUCUGACAGAGCAACGCCGCGUGAGCGAUGAAGGCCUUCGGGUCGUAAAGCUCUGUUGUUAGGGAAGAACAAGUACCGUUCGAAUAGGGCGGUACCUUGACGGUACCUAACCAGAAAGCCACGGCUAACUACGUGCCAGCAGCCGCGGUAAUACGUAGGUGGCAAGCGUUGUCCGGAAUUAUUGGGCGUAAAGCGCGCGCAGGCGGUUCCUUAAGUCUGAUGUGAAAGCCCACGGCUCAACCGUGGAGGGUCAUUGAAAACUGGGGAACUUGAGUGCAGAAAAGGAAAGCGGAAUUCCACGUGUAGCGGUGAAAUGCGUAGAGAUGUGGAGGAACACCAGUGGCGAAGGCGGCUUUCUGGUCUGUAACUGACGCUGAGGCGCGAAAGCGUGGGGAGCAAACAGGAUUAGAUACCCUGGUAGUCCACGCCGUAAACGAUGAGUGCUAAGUGUUAAGGGGGGUUUCCCCCCCCUUAGUGCUGCAGCAUAACGCAUUAAAGCACUCCGGCCUGGGGGAGUACGGGCCGCGAGGGGUGAAAACUCAUAAGGAAUUUGACGGGGGGCCCGCACCAAGCGGUGGGAGCAUGGUGGUUUUAUUUCUAAAGCAACGGCGAAACAACCUUUAUCAGGGUGGUGGACAUCCUCCUGACAACUCCGGGAGGAUAGGAGCGUUUCCCUUUCGGGGGGACAAAAGUGACAAGGUGGGUGCAAUGGUUUGUCUUCCUCCUCCUCGUCCAGGAAGAUUGUUGGGGUUUAAGUCCCCGCAACGGAGCAGCACCCCCUUUGAUCCCUAAGUUGGCCAACCAAUUUAAGUUUGGGGCCCCUCCCAAAUGGCUGAACCGGCCUGGUUAACCAAACCCGGAAAGGAGGGGUGGGGGGAUUGACCGUUUCCU
rnacentral:rRNA from 2 species